GUGAACGCUGGCGGUAGGCCUCACACCUGCAAGUCGCACGGCAGCACAGUAAGAGCUUGCUCUUACGGGUGGCGAGUGGCGGACGGGUGAGGAAUACAUCGGAAUCUACUUUUUCGUGGGGGAUAACGUAGGGAAACUUACGCUAAUACCGCAUACGACCUACGGGUGAAAGCAGGGGAUCUUCGGCCCUUGCGCGAUUGAAUGAGCCGAUGUCGGAUUAGCUAGUUGGCGGGGUAAAGGCCCACCAAGGCGACGAUCCGUAGCUGGUCUGAGAGGAUGAUCAGCCACACUGGAACUGAGACACGGUCCAGACUCCUACGGGAGGCAGCAGUGGGGAAUAUUGGACAAUGGGCGCAAGCCUGAUCCAGCCAUACCGCGUGGGUGAAGAAGGCCUUCGGGUUGUAAAGCCCUUUUGUUGGGAAAGAAAAGCAGCAGGUUAAUACCCCGCUGUUCUGACGGUACCCAAAGAAUAAGCACCGGCUAACUUCGUG
rnacentral:rRNA from 1 species